rnacentral:rRNA from 1 species
GAGAAACCCCCUCACCGAAAGACUAAGGUUUCCUCAGCGAUGCUAAUCAGCUGAGGGUUAGUCGGGUCCUAAGGCGAAUCCGAAGGGAGUAGUCGAUGGAUAACAGGUUAAUAUUCCUGUACUUCUUAUAAUUGCGAUGGGGUGACGGAGUAUUGAAAGCACCGCGUACUGACGGAAUAGUACGUUGAAGAAUAUAGCUAUAGAACCAGAUUAAGAGUUAGGUUUUGGCAAAGUUCGAUAGUACCACAAAGCUUCGGCAGCGUGGAUAGUGUGCCUAAAGGCUUCCAAGAAAAACCUCUAAGCUUCAGAUUAUAAGAACCCGUACCGUAAACCGACACAGGUAGUUGGGAUGAGAAUUCUAAGG